UACAGAGGGUGCGAGCGUUGUCCGGAAUCACUGGGCGUAAAGGGCGCGUAGGUGGCGCCGCAAGUCCAUGGUGAAAGCUCGAUGCUCAACAUCGAGUCGGCCACGGAGACUGCGGGGCUCGAGCACUGUAGGGGCAGAUGGAAUUCCGGGUGUAGCGGUGGAAUGCGUAGAGAUCCGGAAGAACACCAGUGGCGAAGGCGACUCACUGGACACGUAUUGACGCUGAGGUGCGAAAGCGUGGGGAGCAAACAGG
rnacentral:rRNA from 1 species